GAGUCAUGGAACCAUUGCAGUUUACAACUUUGGGGCUCGUAUCUUAUCUUUAUACUCUUUUUUACAGCCAUGGCUUCUUCUUUUCAAAACCAAAGAAGGCUACUUUUCUACUGUCAUCGCACAGAGUUGGUAUUCAAGAUUAUGAAUUUCCUGAAGCCAAGGUGAUUCUAUUAUUUCUCCAGGAGCAAAGCUCCACUUAAUCCCCCUUGCCUUGCCGUACCACUUUCAAAAAAUAGCUCAGGUGCUGUAACUGCAUAGCUCCAGUGGCCUACAGCUCCGCCAGGGUGAGUGUUUGUCAAACAAUCUUGAUCCAUUUUUGAGUACUUUACUCAUCUAGUCCAAUCCUGCAGUAUGGAUAUACUGGUAGUUGGGGUCAAGAAGCAUGGGGUGUGGCUUUUAGCGAAAAAUAACAUUGAUAAAUCCCUCUGGUGAAAUGUCCUAUGCUGGGUUAAGUGAAAAAACUGAAUUUGAUGCAAGGGAGAAGUUACAGUAGUACAUAAGGUAGAAAGCCAGCAAUCUAUCCAUUUCUUUACAGCAGUUUCUUCUUUUCUCUUCUUUCAUCUGUUUAUCAGGUAUCAUGUUUCUGAUUGUUCUUCAUGGCUUUAUGGUGCUAUCAAAAAUUGCAUGUUGAUAUAUCUUUAGUCUUUACUAUGUUCUUCUAUAUAUUGCAUUUGCAAAUUACAAUGAAUGAAUUUUACAAGUUUUCAUGGCAUUAUGGCUCUGUCUGGUCAUAUGGGAUCUGAUAUGAUCACUUCUGAUGGGUAAUAUUCUUUUCUUUCUAUUCUUAAAAGAAUUGUGCAUCUGUAAUGCAUUUUUAGUUGUGUAUAAGAAGUCCAUUAUGCUUGCAAGGAAAGGAGCUUAUAUUGUGUGCAUUGAUUGAAAGAGGAACCACGGACAAUGAAAGGAAGACAUUGAAGACCACCAGCUCUCCACUUGUUAAUAGAGUUUCCAAACUAAUUUUAGUUUUGUCUAAGUGUUUUGACUUUUAGCUGUGAGAGAGUCUCUCAGAGAGACUGAGGAAUUUAUAAGGGAAAAUGCUCGUUUACCCAAUUUUAGGCUAAAAAUUGCCCACUUGCUCCACCAACUGUUUUUUAACCCCAUUUACCCAAAACACUCUAAGGGAUUAUUUCCCCUUUACCCAAUUAAUUCUUUUUUCUUUUUUUUUUUGAGACUUUUUUGCCCUCUCCUUCUUUCUCACUUAGAGAGAGAAGUCACCCUCCACCUUGCUGUGCUCCGGUGACCAGUGGCCGGCGCGGUCUCCGGCGACCAGACUCCGGCGAACGGUGACCGGAUUCAGGCGACCGGUGACACAAUUCCGACAACCGGUGAUCGGAUUCCAGAAUCCGGCUAUUAUUGCCCCCCAGUAAUCAUAUUACUGCCCCCCAGUAAUCAUAUUAUUGCCUCCCAAAAAUCAUAUUAUUGACGUCCAGUGAAUUGUAUGAACUCCCAAAACCAAAAUGAAUACACUACAGGAACAAUUGAUCAAUUUAUAAUCAUAUUACUGCCCCCCAGUAAUCAUAUUAUUGCCCCCCAAUACAAAGUCUAAUGUUUCUACUGCCUCCCAAUAGACCACCAAAAAUGCACAUUUUUGUAGGAUUCACAGAUAAUUUGACUUUAAUACACAGAAAACAACAUAUAACUUAUCAAAACACCACACUAUAGUGAUCCCUGUCCAUCAUAUCAAAGUCUACUGGGGGCCAAUAAUGUGUCUACUGCCCCCAGUAGACCAUCAAACAAACCCCACAGUUACAUUGCAAUUCCUUCCUCAUUCUCGGGGUUCACAAUGUACAAAAAAAAAAAAAUGCUUCUGGCACCCAGAAAUUGCUCUGGGCACCGGAUCUGAAGGACAAGGGACGGAGGCACCGGCGCACUAUUUGCUGUCUGAUCGGCCGGCCAGAACUGUGAAAUUGCAGGUGCAAAUGGCCGGACCUUGAAGCUCCAGAAUUGAUUGGAUUUGGGACGAGGUUGAUGGUGGAGCUCAUCGGCGGUGCACGUCGACUGCUUCUCCAGAAGCUUGACGACCUCUUUCGACUGGUCAUUGGAGAAAGCUCUGACGCGGAUCGACGUCGUCCACGGCGAGGAGGAGAACGACGAUAGCACCCGACGUGCCCGGCGAGGAGGAGCAGUUUGUCCCGACGGUUCGGGUCUCUGACAACCCGAUGGACCUGGACAUGUACAACCAGUGGAGAUGCUCCAGUGGCACUGGAAGUUCGACGAUCUGAUUCGUCAGAAGCCUAGGUCGCCGGAGGCCUGGGUUGAGCAUCAGUGAGAGAGAGAGAGAGAGAAGUUGUUGCGGUCUGGUCGCCGGAUUCAUCGAGCGUGACGGAGUUCAGUGAGAGAGAGAGAGAGAGAGAGAGAGAGAGAGAGAGAGAGAGAGAGAGAGAGAGAGAGAUCGGUGAAGGGGGGAGAGAGAGAGAGAGAUUAAAAGGAGGGUAAUUAUGUCAGUAGAAGUUAGAUUGGGUAAAUGGGGUCAAAAAACUCUUAGUGGAGCAAGUGGGCAAUUUUUUGGUUAAAAUUGGGUAAGUGGUCACGACCCCAAUUUAUAAUAUACUUGUUUCUUCUUUUCCUCUUUGACGUAUAUGUUGAUUAAUGGACACGUGAGCUUCCAUUUGCAUUUUGUUGAUAUAAUAAUGUUAUAACAAUUCAGACUAUAAAAAUAAAAAACAAUUCCAUUUUGCUAGGCUUCGAUAGUACUAUGCCGAGCCUGAUGGUUCGGAGCAAAUUUUUUUAAAAAAUGGAACCAAUAUGGGCAGAGAAAUUUUAUUCACAUCCCAAAUUUCUAAAUACACAUUCCACAUUUUUUGAAAAUUUUUUUUAUCCCUCAUUUUAGCUUUUAAUAAAAAAAAUUAAAUAAAAAAAAAUCCUUCUCAUACCUCUGAUCUGCGGCAAAGGUG